AGCCCCAGUAAACGGCGGCCGUAACUAUAACGGUCCUAAGGUAGCGAAAUUCCUUGUCGGGUAAGUUCCGACCCGCACGAAAGGCGUAACGAUUUGGGCACUGUCUCAACAACAGACUCGGUGAAAUUGUAAUUCCGGUGAAGAUGCCGGAUACCUGCGACAGGACGGAAAGACCCCAUGGAGCUUUACUGUAGCUUGACAUUGGGUCUUGGUACUACAUGUACAGGAUAGGUGGGAGGCUUUGAAACCAGGACGCCAGUUUUGGCGGAGCCAUCCUUGGGAUACCACCCUUGUAGUACUGGGACUCUAACCAUAGGCCAUGAAUCUGGUCUUGGGACACUGUCAGGUGGGCAGUUUGACUGGGGCGGUCGCCUCCCAAAAGGUAACGGAGGCGCUCAAAGGUUCUCUCAGUACGGUCGGAAAUCGUACGUAGAGUGUAAAGGCAAAAGAGAGCUUGAUUGCAAGACAUACAGGUCGAGCAAGGAUGAAAAUCGGACUUAGUGAUCCGGUGGUUCUGCGUGGAAGGGCCAUCGCUCAACGGAUAAAAGCUACCCUGGGGAUAACAGGCUUAUCUCCCCCAAGAGUCCACAUCGACGGGGAGGUUUGGCACCUCGAUGUCGGCUCAUCACAUCCUGGGGCUGUAGUAGGUCCCAAGGGUUGGGCUGUUCGCCCAUUAAAGUGGUACGCGAGCUGGGUUCAGAACGUCGUGAGACAGUUCGGUCCCUAUCCGUCGCAGGCGUAGGAAAUUUGAGAAGACCUGUCCUUAGUACGAGAGGACCGGGAUGGACGUACCUCUGGUGUACCAGUUGUCCUGCCAAGGGCAUGGCUGGGUAGCUAUGUACGGAAUGGAUAAGCGCUGAAAGCAUCUAAGCGCGAAGCCAACUUCAAGAUAAGAUUUCCCACCGCAAGGGUAAGACCCCAGAAAGACUAUCUGGUUGAUAGGUCGAAGGUGUAAGUGCAGCAAUGUAUUUAGCUUAUCGAUACUAAUAG
rnacentral:rRNA from 1 species